CUCCUGGGUUCAAGUGAUUCUCCUGCUUCAGCCUCCGGAGUAGCUGGGAUUACAGGUGGAGAUACUGAGGUUCAGAGCGGGUGAAGGACGUACCCAAGGCCAAAAAACCUGAAAGCGAUUUGA